UUUGGUGAGACGACUGUGGCGAGGUUUGAUUUUUAUGGGGGUUUGGGUGGUAGUUUAAGUGGGAGUGGAGAGGAGAGGAUAUGAUACAUCUGGGGGUUUAAGACUGAAGCGAGCAUUAAUAAAAAUUGUUUAAAAUAAGGGUAUGUUAAAUACGGUUUGUUCGUAAUCUACGAUUAGGAGAAAAUGGGUUUACUAUAUAGAUGUUUGAUGGUUAUUUAUGACUAGAGUGUAUUUUUUAGGUCUAGAAUUCUCCUAUCGUCGUUAUUUUGUGUAAAAUCAUAACUUAAUAUUUAAAAAAACUAAACAAUGAAAACACUCAAGUCAGCAACAAAGGAAAUGGACCAGACAAUAAAUACGGCAAUGACUCUGGUAACAAACAAACAAAGAAAAGAGAAGAAAUAAAGAAUAGGAGAAGGAAACAAAAACAAAAUCUUAUACUCAUGAAACAUGUAACGUAAGGGGUAUUUAUGAAGAAGGAGCUAUUAAAAACCUUAUUAAGGAAAUUAAAACAUAUAAUAUAGGCUUUUCUCCUUUUUAUAUUUACUUCAGGCAUCGCAGCGAAAUUUAUAUAUUUAACCGAAUUUAAAAAAUUCUGUUUAUUUAACGCCCAUUUAUUACUACCUAAAAUUUUCAAUUUCCUUCUUCAUCCAAAGACAAUGAGUUAUUCUGCAAAGUGUGUGGAAAAGUUGUAAUUUAAGUGCGAAAAAAAAUCACACUUUGAACAACACUGCAGUGG